rnacentral:lncRNA from 1 species
UGUUGCUCCAUCAUUCCAACUUUAGCCAUUAGGAGCUCUUUCUCCUUGGCUCUGAUGACCCUUUGGCAUAUUCCAAUCAUUGUGGAGAUCUUAGGUCAUUGUGGAGCUGCUUAGGUCCUCACUAAGCACUAAAUUGCUGAGGCUGGCCUUGAACUUGCAAUCCUCCUGCCUCAGCCCCCCCACCACCUGGAGCCUCUGGGAUUACAAGUAUGCACCACCACACCCAGCCAGAUGUUUGUUUUCUCCAAAUCAUGUUAAAAGUUGUCACCCUACCAUUUACCUUUAAGCAAUUCUAACAAAUCUUUGAAUUUUCCAUCUGAGCUAUAUCCCCAGCCCCCACAAAUCUUUGAAUCUUUAUUUUAGCUCUUCUGAGUCCAAAUUCCAUUGACAAUGAUCUGACUUUCUGAUACAGGAUUCACAUUCCAAUGGAAGUCUCAAACAUUCCCAGGUUUUCUUUGUUUCUUUACCCCACUCUAACCUCCUUUCUUCCAAAAUUUUUGGUGAUUCUUGGAUUACCCUGUAAUCUCCCCAAAUAAUUCUGGCAGCUCUCUGUACUUACCCUGCUGUUCCAAUCCACUUCAACUGUCUUAUAUUAGAAUUGCUUAUAGUGCUUGUGAGUUUCUAAGGGGAUAGGGAUCAGAGCUUAGUCAUCUUUUUGUCCUCUGCAAUGCCAGAAUAUGUCUAGCCUCCAAUGUCUCCCAAGGUUAAGGCACACACUCUACUUUGUUCAUAAUACCUGAAUAUCACAUCCAACUAUUUAAGAAUUAAAUUCACUUGAUAUCUUUCUUCUAUCCAAGAACUUGGCAAGUCAAAGAACUGGAGGCUUCUAGAGCUUUCUUGCAUCCAGUGUGGGGGAAAUCUAAUCCUGUACUAUCUCCCUGCCACAAGUAGGAGUGGGCUACUGUACAUAUUGGCAUCAUCUAUAGGAUCAAGCAUGCUCUGCCUGGGGCUCUAGAAAUCUGGAUAUCUUCUCUGAUGACCUCAGGGGAGGUUUUAUCUCCAGGAGCAUUAUUGGGUGUCCAUCAUGUGGAUAUUUCUCUGCCAAAAGGGGGAGCCAGCUCUCUGCCAUUGGAGCCAUAUGUCACAGGUACUGAAGAGCUGGCAUAGAUCUGGAAGGAAAGGGGGACCUUUGAUUUGUCAAAACAUGCAACAGCUGAAGUCUAAAAUACAGACUGAGGGGCUGGGGCUGGGGCUCAGUGGAAGUGCACUUGCCCGGCAUAUGUGAGGCACUGGGUUCGAUUCUCAGCACCACAUAUAAAUAAAUAAAUAAAAAUAAAGGUCUGUCAACAACUAAAAAAAAAAAAACUAAUUAGAAUAAAAUACAGACUACAGAGGUUUUUAGUGUUCAAUGGGUCUCAUGUGAGGAUGCCGAAUUCAUUCCAGUAUUAAGGACCCCGUUAAUUGGGAUUGCCUUUUUCUGGGUGACCUAUUGUGAGGAUUGCCUUAGGCCUGAGCCUAAGCAACUCCAUUUUAAAAACUGCAGUUUGAAACCUGCAGUCUCACCAGGCAUACUCACAGAGCCCUCCAGUAUGGCCUCAAACAAGUUAUUUCCGCUCACCUUGAUAAACAGAGUAAAGCCCCUGGCAGGCUGUCCUCUCCUGAUAAAAGGGAAAGGCGAGAAGAUCAGGGAGGAGACCACCAGACCAGAUGUUUCUGACCCCAGGGUAAAUGAUGUCAUGGAGAAACCCGGUGGUAGCUGAUAAGGAUUGAAAGGGGGUCAAAAACCCCCAAAUUUAGUAUAAAUAAUAGAGCUGAUGAACAGGGAUUCAGCCAGCUGAAACAAGGAUGCAUUCAGUGGUAGAGUGUUGCUUAGUAUGCAUGAGGCACUGGGUUUGAUCCUCAGCACCACAUAAAAAUAAAAAAUAAAGGUAUUGUGUCCACCUAAAACUAAUAUA